UAAUGACGGUACCUGAAGAAUAAGCACCGGCUAACUACGUGCCAGCAGCCGCGGUAAUACGUAGGGCGCAAGCGUUGUCCGGAUUUAUUGGGCGUAAAGAGCUCGUAGGCGGUCUGUCGCGUCUGCUGUGAAAACCCGAGGCUCAACCUCGGGCCUGCAGUGGGUACGGGCAGACUAGAGUGCGGUAGGGGAGACUGGAAUUCCUGGUGUAGCGGUGGAAUGCGCAGAUAUCAGGAGGAACACCGAUGGCGAAGGCAGGUCUCU
rnacentral:rRNA from 1 species